UCUUUGNUNACAGCGACGAUUUUUACUCCAGCACNCCGUAGUUGGAUACGAAUAGAACCUCCGGGUCCUUGAUCGCAUAAGGGUCGCAAUGGGAUGUCUGGCGGAAGAGCUUGGAUACGCCCUGCAACCGUAAGGCAAUUUGACAAUGAGCUGGGAUAAAUCCUNUGCAGACGACUUAAAUGUACGGGUGGGUGCAUGUAAGUGGCAGAGUAGCCUUGUUGUUACUAUCCGCUGAG
rnacentral:rRNA from 1 species